CGCGCAGGUGGUUUCUUAAGUCUGAUGUGAAAGCCCACGGCUCAACCGUGGAGGGUCAUUGGAAACUGGGAGACUUGAGUGCAGAAGAGGAUAGUGGAAUUCCAAGUGUAGCGGUGAAAUGCGUAGAGAUUUGGAGGAACACCAGUGGCGAAGGCGGUCAACUGGACGAUAACUGACGCUGAGGCGCGAAAGCGUGGGAGCGAACA
rnacentral:rRNA from 1 species